rnacentral:tRNA from 1 species
GCCUGGGUGGCACAGUGGUUGAGCGUCUGCCUUCAGCUCAGGGCGUGAUCCCGGUGUUGUGGGAUCGAGCCCCACAUCAGGCU